rnacentral:rRNA from 1 species
GAUGAACGCUGGCGGCGUGCCUAAUACAUGCAAGUCGAGCGAACGGACGAGAAGCUUGCUUUUCUGAUGUUAGCGGCGGACGGGUGAGUAACACGUGGAUAACCUACCUAUAAGACUGGGAUAACUUCGGGAAACCGGAGCUAAUACCGGAUAAUAUUUUGAACCGCAUGGUUCAAAAGUGAAAGACGGUCUUGCUGUCACUUAUAGAUGGAUCCGCGCUGCAUUAGCUAGUUGGUAAGGUAACGGCUUACCAAGGCAACGAUGCAUAGCCGACCUGAGAGGGUGAUAGGCCACACUGGAAGUGAGACACGGUCCAGACUCCUACAGGAGGCAGCAGUAGGGAAUCUUGCGCAAUGGGCGAAGGCCUGACGGAGCAACGCCGCGUGAGUGAUGAAGGUCUUAGGAUCGUAAAACUCUGUUAUUAGGGAAGAACAUAUGUGUAAGUAACUGUGCACAUCUUGACGGUACCUAAUCAGAAAGCCACGGCUAACUACGUG